GGCACAGCCCAACCCUUGGUAAUGUGGAGCCAGAGCACAAGAUGCCUUCCAUGUGUUGUGGAUGUUCUGGUGUUAGCUGCUCGAAUAGCCAAGGGCUGUACGUUCUGGACACCGUCAUAACUCAAAAAGAACAUGAAAGAACCUACCUCUGUUUCUCUUGGACGUUUCCAUGAAGAACCUCUCAGUCCAGAUGGAUCUCUGGACUACCACAUCUGCAUGGCCAGCAGAUGAGACUUCCUGUGAUUUGGCAUCCAUCACCCACAGGACUUUGUUAUUUCCAGCGUUUGCAUAAUGACAAUGGUUUCAAGACUCCAUCCAGCUCAAGCGAAGCACUCAUGCAUUCCAGAAAGCCUGUAUUCCAUCCCUGCAACGAUCAACAACAAUCGGUUUUAUAUUCAUAAACUAAUGUAGACCUAUAAUAUUCAGCUCAUUUGGUUACAAAUGUGUUCUAAAUCUAGACUGGCUCAAUAAAAUGCUUUAUUGCCUAACUGUA